GCCUGCAUAAUCACAUGUUAGGAUUCACGAAACAGAGUUGGACCUUAUAACAAACUUAUUAAUGAGGUGGGAAACAAAUAGUUCUUCCAAGAAGUGCCAAUAGCUGUAUCGCAAACGUCCAAUAAUUAACUGCUACUAUUGCAGUAAAGCAAUUAAAAGCUACGGGUCUCAAUCCACAUUGUAGAACUACGCGUAGCACGGGCAGUAUCAUAGAUACCCUUUGCAAAUUUUAAUAAAUAAAAAGUAUAUAAAUGACACUUUAUUAUCUAUACGUAUAUAUUACGAUGACCUUGUCUAUUUGUAAUUAAGGUAUAAUCGUACGAAAGUAGUAACUCAUAUAUGGCAUCGCAACGUAAUGGAUUCUAAAUUGCUUUGAUCGUUUUUCCGGAAGGCUAAUGAAUUCUCCCGUCUGAAUGAACCUCACGGCUCAGCGAUGAAGCAGCCCGACUGUGACAUUUCACGAUCGAAAUUGUUAAUAAAGACUGAAAAUUCAUAAAAGCUAGAACAGGUUGAAGCUAAUGGAAACGGAAAAUUAAAUUUUAUUUUUUAUUUUACAGUACUAAUGAUAUUUUUUUUGUUUCAACAACUAUAACAAUAAAUCUACUAUGUUUUAUUAUUA